CUGGUAUGGUGCGCCUGGCCCACGGUUGCAAAACCGCGAGUGUCGGUGUGCGCCUGCCAUCUUUCUAGUUAACUGGACGCACUUAACUGGGCGGUCAGCGAUCUAGAUCUUUUACUUUGAAAAAAUUAGAGUGUUUAAAGCAGGCUUGCGCUAUGAAUACAUUAGCAUGGAAUAAUAAUUUAGGACUUUAUUCCUAUUUAUUGGUUUCUGGAGUAGAGUAAUGAUUGAUAGGGAUAGUUGGGGGUGCUAGUAUUCAUCGGCCAGAGGUGAAAUUCUUGGAUUCGAUGAAGACUAACUAAUGCGAAAGCAUUC
rnacentral:rRNA from 1 species